GGCUCAAAUCUGAAGUAGGGUAGAUUGGUAAGGUCAGCUGAUACUACUGUUUUAGUGUACUUCAAAAUGGGGCCC
rnacentral:pre_miRNA from 1 species